AACGUGCUUGACUGGUCUGGUAGUGGUGUAUCGCCUAACUUUGAGAACAAAUGCUUACGUUUUACAAGGGUACAAAAUCAUUUUUUCAUCGAAAAAUGUGUGUGACAUCAAUUUAACAUUAACUCUGUGAACAUUCCAGACCAGGGCGUGUGUGUCGUAUUCUUUUUUAGUGUGUGUGUGUGUGUAAAGACUUGCAUGGGAGUACCUCGUGGUCUAGUUUUUUUCCCUCCAUUUUGUGUGAGCAUCAUUUUCAUCGAGAAAAGAUGUCUAUACCAGCAAACAGAAUAACCCAUUCUAACGCAGCAAACAGACAAGAGAAAUGCUGCGUUGAACCUCUUGGCGUGUUUGCAUGUUUCCCGCACAACACCGAGGAGAAGAAUAGUCGCAGCAGCCGACCAACCAACCAAACAUGGCGGCUGACCUUUUAUUCUUGACCCUCUCAGCUGCGGCUUCUGACUAAUAAAAACAGCAACACACAAAAGAAAAAGUUGUCUUUGUUGGUGUGUGGCGUCAUUGCGAGGUACACGGAAGAGCUGUCAGUCAACUCGGCCAGCCUUUUCCAUUACAAGUGAGCGUCGUGGUGGUUUUCAUCAAUGGGGAAAUGACGACGACGACGACGUGGAAUGGAGAAAUCAUCUCUCGGGGGAGCUGCCGGUUUUGCAGGCGAAAAUCUCAGGAGGGCGAGCCUUGACGUCAUGUGCGGGAUCGAGAAACGAGGCGGAAAUCGGCUGGGCGGCUCGACACUAAAAAGAAGAAGCAGCCGAUAAAAUCAAGGAAAGAUGACCGCCUAUGCUGUUAACACCCGUAGACAACAUCAUCACCGAUGGAAUUCCCUUCAUGACCGCUAGACGGCAGCAGCUUCUGAUUCUUCACGACGGGGCUGCGGAACUAGGACUUUCACACGAAACGACGGGGCUUGGAUAGAGAACUUCCGGAAAGUCUGUCGGUUUUUUUCCAGCCAACGGUCAAUACGUCGUAAUCAGAUGACGACUUGAACCGGCAGAAGAGAAAGAACAGGAAAUGCGCAGUCACAUCGCACAGGAACUUAACCGGAGCCAGUUGAGACUAAAGGGAAUAACCAAAGAAGGAGGAGGCAAUUGGAGCCGAUAGUGAACCAGUUGUCCGUUCUUUUGCGUCCAGCCAGCGGAGGACGGGGGUGGUAGCGGGGGGUGGACAAGAAACAAGCUGAUGUGUAAAUAAGAUCUCCUUUCGCAGCCCGCGACAUUUGGCUGGGAUAGAAGAUGAAGCUCGGCUUGGCAUCGUCCGUCUCAAUUCCGGGUGCCCCCGCUGGAUAAGAGAAUUUUCCUUUUCUUUUUUUAAAAAGGGAGACGAAACGACACUGACCGUAUGCGGGUUAUGGUGUAACAUGAAAGUUAUCUCUCUCGACACACCGAGGUGAAGAUCGGUGGAGACGCUAAUUACCGAACCUCAUUGUGAAAAGAUUUUUGGUUUUUCUUCGGAGGAGGGUUAACCGACGCACGGGAGCUGCAGGGUAAUUUGUAUCUCCCGCCAACGGAAAACUGAGUUUGUUACUAAAAGAACAUGGAUGUCUUUUAAUCAUAUAUAAUAUCUUACAAAUUCUCCAAGAUUUAAGAAGAAGGAUUUGACUUGGCUGUCUACAACACACUCCAAGAUCAUUGAUAUAUCUUAAGUCUUAGACGAACAGCUUCAGCUUACAAACUCUUGAUUUCCAUCUCUACUGCCAACAUCAGUGAUAUCGUUUGUGCACAACAUGCCUUAGUGUGAACUGAGUUCAUUGUUACUGCUCAGUGCAAUUAUAAUGCCUAUUGUCUCCCCUGCGCCUUGUGUAGUGACCUCGACUUCUGCGCCCAACCAUCUACCGACGGAUUGUGGAAUCCAUUGGAUGGAGCUGCUGGACUGAGAAAGCCGACGAAGGAACAACAAUCGGCAGAUGGUUUGAGGCCAGAGCCAGCCAUCGUAACAACAUAAUACACAAGUUCUGCUUGUGCCGAGUCUGUCAUCAGUCUGUCUGUCUCACCUGUCGUCACCAAAUAUCUCAGCAUGAUCUCAGCAUCACCGCUUAGAUUCACAGCAUCCCAUUGCAUUGGAAAAGCUACCGAUGUCAAUCGAGUUACGGAUCUCUCUUUUCCCCCCCUUCUUUCAAUGUCCUCGUGUAUGCCCAUGUGAAUGUGGGUGUAUUCACGAGGACACCCUUUAUACCCUAUACCGUCUGGUGUAAUCGAACUCUUCAGCUGUUGGAUGGAGCAACUGACGUAUAUAUAACUGGCUGUAUGUGCCAGGCAUAAAGGAUCUGCCCGUCUCCUAACCAACAAUUCUCCCUUGCGUAAAGUUGACAGUUGGAACGACUUCUGGCCGCAGUCGGAAUGUGCUGCUGCUCCUUUCGAGUUUUUAUUGCCCCGGCUAGUCUACGAGCUGUUGAGAAUAAUGUGAACGUCAAAUGGCAAAAAUUGAGAUAAAUCUCAAGACAGUUUGGUUUGUCCUGCCAUUCUUACCUCAUACCUAAGCAACUAGAUGUAGAUCAUAUAAAAAUAAGAGACUGGAACAGAUCCAACCGUUAAAACAGGUUGAUAUCUCAAGUAGGCCUUCUGAGAAUACCGUGAACCUUCUUUUACUGGAAGAUAAUUGAAGUAAAUCGAACAGUAAUAAAUCCCAACCCUUUUCUUCGCUUUGUGACGUCAUGACACUGAGAGACUAGUAGUUAGUUUUGGGGUCAUACAUAAGAAUAUCAGAUUUGUAAUUGAUUUAAAAAAUAAUAUUGUAUUUCAAUUGUAUUUCAAACUGAAUAUUUCGACUAGAACUGUUUCCCCGCCAUCUAGUGGUCGAAUCAAAUGAAAUAACAAAAAUGAAAUUGAUCCUUGAUGCCACCACUUGAUGGCAGUUCUCUUAACAAGUUGCAUGCUCUAGCGUGUAGCGUCUAGACUCUAGCCUCCAAUGCAAAUGCGACCUAGAACCCCUUCAUGAGUGCAGUACUUUAGUUGAUGAUGCCAUUGCUAUCAACAAUAUGUAUAUAUAUAUAACCAUUCAUGAGGUUUUCAACAUGAUGUCAAGCAUGUUGAUAUGCCUAUCAAAAUAAUUGCUUCAUUUAAAAAGAAUAUUAUUUUGCUUUACCAAAG